UACGAAGGGGGCAAGCGUUGUUCGGAAUUACUGGGCGUAAAGCGCGCGUAGGCGGCUUUGCAAGUCGAGUGUGAAAUCCCCAGGCUCACCAUGGACUGGACUACUUCGAGACUGCAUAGCUAGAGUAUGGGAGAGGGAAGUGGAAUUUCCGGUGUAGCGGUGAAAUGCGUAGAUAUCGGAAGGAACAUCAGUGGCGAAAGCGACUUCCUGGACCAAUACUGACGCUCAUGUGCGAAAGCGUGGGGAGCAAACAGG
rnacentral:rRNA from 1 species